GCUUGGUGGCACACACCUGUCAUCUCUGAUACUUGGAGACUGAGGCAAGAGGGUUGCUUGAGCCCAGGAGUUCUGGGCUAUCAUGCACUAUGUUCAUCAGGUGUCCUGUGUAUCUCAGGUGUCCACACUAAGUUCAGCAUUAAUAUGGUGACCUCCUGGGAGAGGGAGACCACCAGAUUGCCUGAGGAGGUGUGAACUAAUGCAGGUCAGAAAUGAAGCAGGUCAAAACUCUACUGAUCAGUAAUAGUAUUGAACCUAUGACUAGCCACUGCACUCCAGCCUGGGCAAAACAGUAAGACCCCAUCUCC
rnacentral:SRP_RNA from 1 species